CUUCUGGCUGCUUCGUCAAACUAUCUUCAUCCAGUUUUUUCAGCUGCCUGAAAGCAGAAAUACAGUGUAUGGUCUUCUACACAAUGGCUUCCUGAAACUAAUGAAGCGCACACAACAAAGAAAAGUAAGCUCCGGAAGUGGUGAAAUAUGGAAGUAGUUACAAUGAAGAUUUUUUUCUUUAAAAGAAAAGGUUUAAACUAGCUGAAAAGCAGCUACAAGUUCUGACAAGAAAAUAAGAGAAAAAGAGAAAAACAAACAUGAAAAUUCCAAGAAAACUACACGGAAAAACCAGAAGAGAUGGACAGAUUACAUGCUAUAUUGAAAAGCCUUAACCACAUUGAACAGAUCCUUCAUGGAAAAAUUACAGAGACAAGAUAAGAAUCACACAAGAUGAGAAGGCAUCAAUUUACUCUCUG